rnacentral:rRNA from 1 species
GUAGCAAGGUUAACCGUAUAGGGGAGCCGCAGGGAAACCGAGUCUUAAUUGGGCGUUAAGUUGCAGGGUAUAGACCCGAAACCCGGUGAUCUAGCCAUGGGCAGGUUGAAGGUUGGGUAACACUAACUGGAGGACCGAACCGACUAAUGUUGAAAAAUUAGCGGAUGACCUGUGGCUGGGGGUGAAAGGCCAAUCAAACCGGGAGAUAGCUGGUUCUCCCCGAAAGCUAUUUAGGUAGCGCCUCGUGAAUUCAUCUCCGGGGGUAGAGCACUGUUUCGGCUAGGGGGCCAUCCCGGCUUACCAACCCGAUGCAAACUGCGAAUACCGGAGAAUGUUAUCACGGGAGACACACGGCGGGUGCUAACGUCCGUCGUGAAGAGGGAAACAACCCAGACCGCCAGCUAAGGUCCCAAAGUCAUGGUUAAGUGGGAAACGAUGUGGGAAGGCCCAGACAGCCAGGAUGUUGGCUUAGAAGCAGCCAUCAUUUAAAGAAAGCGUAAUAGCUCACUGGUCGAGUCGGCCUGCGCGGAAGAUGUAACGGGGCUAAACCAUGCACCGAAGCUGCGGCAGCGACGCUGAUGCGUUGUUGGGUAGGGGAGCGUUCUGUAAGCCUGCGAAGGUGGCCUGUGAGGGUUGCUGGAGGUAUCAGAAGUGCGAAUGCUGACAUAAGUAACGAUAAAGCGGGUGAAAAGCCCGCUCGCCGGAAGACCAAGGGUUCCUGUCCAACGUUAAUCGGGGCAGGGUGAGUCGACCCCUAAGGCGAGGCCGAAAGGCGUAGUCGAUGGGAAACGGGUUAAUAUUCCCGUACUUGGUGUUACUGCGAAGGGGGGACGGAGAAGGCUAUGUUGGCCGGGCGACGGUUGUCCCGGUUUAAGCGUGUAGGUGUGUGUUCCAGGUAAAUCCGGUUCACUUUAACACUGAGGCGUGAUGACGAGGCACUACGGUGCUGAAGCAACAAAUGCCCUGCUUCCAGGAAAAGCCUCUAAGCAUCAGGUAACAUCAAAUCGUACCCCAAACCGACACAGGUGGUCAGGUAGAGAAUACCAAGGCGCUUGAGAGAACUCGGGUGAAGGAACUAGGCAAAAUGGUGCCGUAACUUCGGGAGAAGGCACGCUGACACGUAGGUGAAGUGAUUUACUCACGGAGCUGAAGUCAGUCGAAGAUACCAGCUGGCUGCAACUGUUUAUUAAAAACACAGCACUGUGCAAACACGAAAGUGGACGUAUACGGUGUGACGCCUGCCCGGUGCCGGAAGGUUAAUUGAUGGGGUCAGCGCAAGCGAAGCUCCUGAUCGAAGCCCCGGUAAACGGCGGCCGUAACUAUAACGGUCCUAAGGUAGCGAAAUUCCUUGUCGGGUAAGUUCCGACCUGCACGAAUGGCGUAAUGAUGGCCAGGCUGUCUCCACCCGAGACUCAGUGAAAUUGAACUCGCUGUGAAGAUGCAGUGUACCCGCGGCAAGACGGAAAGACCCCGUGAACCUUUACUAUAGCUUGACACUGAACAUUGAGCCUUGAUGUGUAGGAUAGGUGGGAGGCUUUGAAGUGUGGACGCCAGUCUGCAUGGAGCCGACCUUGAAAUACCACCCUUUAAUGUUUGAUGUUCUAACGUGGACCCGUAAUCCGGGUUGCGGACAGUGUCUGGUGGGUAGUUUGACUGGGGCGGUCUCCUCCUAAAGAGUAACGGAGGAGCACGAAGGUUGGCUAAUCCUGGUCGGACAUCAGGAGGUUAGUGCAAUGGCAUAAGCCAGCUUGACUGCGAGCGUGACGGCGCGAGCAGGUGCGAAAGCAGGUCAUAGUGAUCCGGUGGUUCUGAAUGGAAGGGCCAUCGCUCAACGGAUAAAAGGUACUCCGGGGAUAACAGGCUGAUACCGCCCAAGAGUUCAUAUCGACGGCGGUGUUUGGCACCUCGAUGUCGGCUCAUCACAUCCUGGGGCUGAAGUAGGUCCCAAGGGUAUGGCUGUUCGCCAUUUAAAGUGGUACGCGAGCUGGGUUUAGAACGUCGUGAGACAGUUCGGUCCCUAUCUGCCGUGGGCGCUGGAGAACUGAGGGGGGCUGCUCCUAGUACGAGAGGACCGGAGUGGACGCAUCACUGGUGUUCGGGUUGUCAUGCCAAUGGCACUGCCCGGUAGCUAAAUGCGGAAGAGAUAAGUGCUGAAAGCAUCUAAGCACGAAACUUGCCCCGAGAUGAGUUCU